rnacentral:rRNA from 1 species
GACGAACGCUGGCGGCGUGCUUAACACAUGCAAGUCGAACGGAAAGGCCCUGCUUUUGUUUGGUUCUCUAGUGGCGAACGUGUGAGUAACACGUGUGUAACCUGCCCUUGACUUUGGGGUAACUUCAGGAAACUGGGGCUAAUACCGGAUAGGAUCUCCUGCUGCAUGGUGGGGGUUGGAAAGUUUCGGCGGUUGGGGAUGGACUCGCGGCUUAUCAGCUUGUUGGUGGGGUAGUGGCUUACCAAGGCUUUGACGGGUAGCCGGCCUGUGAGGGUGACCGGCGACAUAGGGACUGAGAGACGGCCCAGAGUGCUACGGGAGGCAGCAGUGGGGAAUAUUGCACAAUGGGAGGAAGCGUGAUGCAGAAACGCGGCGAGCGGGAUGAAGGCCAUCGGGUUGUAAAAAGAAUUAGAAUGAGAAGAAGAGAGAGUGACGGUAAUGGGUAAAGAAGCACCGGCUAACUACGUG